CCCCUAUCUAACACAACCCCUAUCUAUCCCAGCCCCCCGCAAAUUGUAGGCAGGAUUAUUCCUUCCACUUCCUGGCUGCCCCUCCUCAGGCUCCACCCCCAACCCAGUAUCUCCUCUGUACCCUAGACUGCAAGUUCCAUGAAGGCAGAGAUGAGGGACUGAAUCUGUUCAUUUGCCAAGUCCUCAUUUUGAAAGAAAGAUGAAAUUUCAAGAACUUUGCAAGAGCUUGAAAAGAGCAUCUCGGAGACUCGCUGUGCUUGGGCGCUGAAAGCUCCCCUGUAGGGCAUGAAAGCACCCUCACCUUGCUCUGGAGCAGACCAGAAGUGCACAUGGGGACAAUCACUUGCCUCGGGGCACCCAGACCCGGAGGCAGCUUGCCCCCUCAUGCCUGGCCUUCCCAGUGGGCCAUCCUGGCUUUGACCUCACAACCAGCAGACCCUCGUUCAACAUUCAAUCACUUCCGCUCUCAGCGCCCUGCCAGCUCUCCCUUGCCCUGGUUUUCCGCCCUGGAACCCGUGGGAGAGAAAUCUAGACGGGAAGAAGAGGAGAAUGCAGCCCCAAGGUUGAGUGUUAUUUAUGAAUCUACAUCAUAGCAAAAAAUAGACUACAUGCUAAGACAUAUACAUUGACAUAAAUUUUAUGAAAAUUAAAGAUAUUUCUGGUUCACCAUUUAAGUCACUACCACUUUGCUUAGUUAGGGUUUCUAUUGUUGGCAUGACCAAAGGUGACUUGGGGAGGAAAGAUUGAA
rnacentral:lncRNA from 1 species